rnacentral:rRNA from 1 species
GAUGAACGCUGGCGGCGUGCCUAAUACAUGCAAGUCGAGCGAACAGACGAGGAUCUUGCUCCUCUUACGUUAGCGGCGGACGGGUGAUUAACACGUGUAUAACCUACCUAUAUUACUGGUAUAACUUCGGGAAACCGUAUCUAAUACCGGAUAAUAUAUUGAACCGCAUGGUUCAAUAGUGAAAUACGGUUUUUCUGUCACUUUUAGAUUUAUCCGGGCCGCAUUAGCUAGUUGGUAAGGUAACGGCUUACCAAGGCAACGAUGCGUAGCCGACCUGAGAGGGUGAUAGGGCACACGGGAAGUGAGACACGGACCAGAGUCCUACGGGAGGAAGCAGUAGGGAAUAUGAGGAAAUGGGGGAAAGGAUGACGGAGCAACGCCGAGUGAGAGAUGAAGGUGUUAGGAUCGGAAAACUAUGUUAUUAGGGAAGAAAAAAUGUGUAAGUAAAUAUGCACGUAUUGACGGUAACUAAUCAGAAAGCAACGGCUAACUACGUG